rnacentral:rRNA from 1 species
GACGAACGCUGGCGGCGUGGAUUAGGCAUGCAAGUCGGACGGUAGGGCUUUAUCGUAAGAUAGAGUUUGAGAGUGGCGAACGGGUGAGUAACACGUAGGAAUCUACCCUUAAGACGGGGACAACCCAGGGAAACUUGGGCUAAUACCGGAUGAGAGUGCGAGAGAUUGCAUUUAAAAGGAUGGCGAAAGUUGUCGCUUAGGGAUGAGCCUGCGGUCUAUUAGUUAGUUGGUGAGGUAAGAGCUCACCAAGGCGAUGAUAGAUAGGCGGCCUUAACGGGUGGUCGCCCACACUGGGAUUGAGAUACGGCCCAGACUCCUACGGGAGGCAGCAGUCGAGAAUAGUCUACAAUGGCCGGAAGGCUGAUAGUGCGACGCCGCGUGAACGAGGGAGCCUUCGGGUGUAAGUUCUUUCUAUACGAGCAGUGCUAUAUAUAUGGAUAGUAUAUAUAGAGGGAGUAGUAGUAUAGGAAUAAGCAACGGCGUAACUCCGUGCCAGCA